CGGUGCUGCCCAUAAUCUAUUAUGAAGCAGCUUAAUAGGGAAGUUCGAUGUAAAUUCGACGCGGUCCCGCCACUGUAACGCGGAGCUGACUAUCGUAAAGCCACUGUUGAUCAACAAUGGGAAGGUGAUAGUUAAGCGAUGAAGCGAAGCCAGGAGACCUGCCGUGUAA
rnacentral:ncRNA from 1 species